UACGUAGGGAGCAAGCGUUGUCCGGAAUUAUUGGGCGUAAAGCGCGCGCAGGUGGUUCCUUAAGUCUGAUGUGAAAGCCCACGGCUCAACCGUGGAGGGUCAUUGGAAACUGGGGAACUUGAGUGCAGAAGAGGAAAGUGGAAUUCCAAGUGUAGCGGUGAAAUGCGUAGAGAUUUGGAGGAACACCAGUGGCGAAGGCGACUUUCUGGUCUGUAACUGACACUGAGGCGCGAAAGCGUGGGGAGCAAACAGG
rnacentral:rRNA from 1 species